GACGAACGCUGGCGGCGUGCUUAACACAUGCAAGUCGAACGGAAAGGCCCUGCUUUUGUGGGGUGCUCGAGUGGCGAACGGGUGAGUAACACGUGAGUAACCUGCCCUUGACUUUGGGAUAACUUCAGGAAACUGGGGCUAAUACCGGAUAGGAGCUCCUGCUGCAUGGUGGGGGUUGGAAAGUUUCGGCGGUUGGGGAUGGACUCGCGGCUUAUCAGCUUGUUGGUGGGGUAGUGGCUUACCAAGGCUUUGACGGGUAGCCGGCCUGAGAGGGUGACCGGCCACAUGGGGACUGAGAUACGGCCCAGACUCCUACGGGAGGCAGCAGUGGGGAAUAUUGCACAAUGGGCGGAAGCCUGAUGCAGCAACGCCGCGUGCGGGAUGACGGCCUUCGGGUUGUAAACCGCUUUCGCUUGUGACGAAGCUUGAGUGACGGUAAUGGGUAAAGAAGCACCGGCUAACUACGUG
rnacentral:rRNA from 1 species